CUAGGAAUCCAUGAUUGCUUUAAUAUUUGAAAAUCAAUUAAUGUAAUUAACUUUAUUAACAGAGUAAAGGAGAAAAACUACAUGGUUAUCUCAAUAGAAAAAUGUAUUUGACAAACUUUCCUCAUUUAUGAUAGAUAAUCUCAGGAGAUUAUGAAUAGAAUGAAACUUCCUCAACCUGGUAAAAGGCACCUAAGAAAAACCAUAGCUAACAUCACACUUAAUGGUGAAAUAUUGAGUACUUUCUCCCUAAGAUUGGGAAAAAGGCAAGGAUGAAUGCUCUCACCCUAUCUAUUCAGCAUCGUGCUGGAGGUUCUUGCCGAUGCAAUAAGGCAAAACAAAUAAACAAAAAGAAAAACAUUCAUACAGAUGGAAAGGUAGAAAUAAAGCCAUCUCUAUUCACAGAUGACAUGAUUUUUUAUGCAGAAAAUCCCAAGGAAAGCUAUGAGAACUAGUAAGUGAGUUUGGAAAGGUUUCUGGAUACAAGGUCUAUUAUCUACAAAAAAGAAAUUGUAGGUCUAUACACUAGCAACAAACAAUUGGAAACUGAAAUCUUUAAAAAUGUCAUCAAAAAUAUUAAAUACAUAGGGAUCUAUUUGACAAAAGGUGUGCAAGAAACUAAAAAUUUAAAAAAAUUGUUGAGAGAGAUCAAAGAAGACUUAAAUACAUAGGGGAUAUAGGAUGUUUGCUGCGGACUAAACUGUGCCCCUCCUGAGUUCAGACGUUGGGGUCCUAACCCCCAGGGUGACUGUAUUUGAGGAUGGGGCUUCCUAGGAGGUAGGUAAGAUUAGAUGAGGUCAUAAGGGUGGAGCCCUGAUGCAAUAGAAGUAGUGUCCAUCUGAGAAGAGACACCAGAUCUCUCUCUCUCUCUCUGGUGUGCGUACAAAGAAGUCAUGUGAGCACACAGCGAGACGGCCGCUGUCUACAAGCUAAGAGAAAAGGUCACUGAAUGAAACCUACCUAGCUGGCACCUUAUCUUGGGCUUCCCAGCCUGUGAGAAAUAAAUUUCUGUUGUUGAAGCCACCUGGUCUAUGGUAUUUUGUUAUGGCAGCCCUAGCAGACAGAAUACAACGUUCAUGGAUCAGAAGACUCAAUAUGACUAAGACGUCACUUCAACCCAGAUUGAUCUGUAGUUUCAACACAAUUCCAAUUAAAAUCCCAGAAGACAUUGGCAAGGUGUUUCUAAAAUUUGUAUGAAAAUUCAAAGGACCUAGAAUAGCCAAAACAACUUUGAAAAAGAACAAAGCUGGAAAACUUUGGUUUCAAGACCUGAUUGUGCAGCCACAGUAAUCAAGACAGUGUGGUACUGGUGUCCAGACAGCUAAAUAGAUCAAUGGAACUUAGAGAAAGCCCAGAGCUAGAGUAACACAUAUUGGGCCAAUUAAUUCUCAACGAAGCUGCCAAAGCACGUUAAGAUUAAGAACUUUUAUUCACCAAAUAGCAUGAUCAAGAGAGUGUAAGCCAGCAUCCAGUCAGGAGACAGAAAUUAUACCAAUAAUAUGAACAGGGAAAUUUAAUACAAAGAAAAGGAAAAAUGGGAUUCAUUGUUUACAAAGGUAAAAGAGAAUGCUAAGAUACAGUAAAGGAAGUAAGGGCAGGAAGCAGCUACUGCCCCAGGGCUGAGGGGAAAGUGAACAAGAAAGGAGCUUAAAAACUUAGAACGGGACCCUGCGGGGCUGCAGGCUGCGAUGCAGAUCCCUGAGGAGGGCACAUGGCUGCCACAAGAACACCCUGUCUGCCACUGCAGUCACAAAGGACAUAGGGGAGAGUACCAGCCUUGGACUGCAAGGGCAGCCCACCGCUGUGGUAAACAGAGCCGGGCUCCCGUACUCUGCUCCAUGCAAAAAUAGAAAACAGCAGAAACAGAAGUCCCUCUUCCUCUUCCAGCCUUGCAAUGAGGCUCCGGUAUGUUCCACUGACAAAUAAUAUCAUCUGGCCAGCUGGCAAAGGAGAAAUAGCAUCUCCCAAGUCCAGUUCCAGAAUCAGAAGCAAGGCAAAGAGAGGUAGUAAAUUUACAAGCAGAACAAGUGGGAAGGCUGACCACAGAGAGUGGAAGAAAACAUCUGCUGUGUGUGUAUCUGUCAGAGGACUCAUAUCCAGAAUAUAUAGGGAACUCCUACAAAUCAACAGAGAAAAAAGACACACACCCCGAUAGAAAAAAUGUGCCUUGUACAGGCACAUUACAAAAGAAAACUUCUAAAUAGUCAAUAAAUACAUUAAAAUAUCAUCCUGGAAAUGCAAAUUAACACUACAGUGUGAUACCACCGUUCACCCUCCAGGAUGGCUAAAAUGGAAGAGAUUGUCCACGGACCCUGUAUCCAGAGACUUUGGGGCCGAUGCGGGUGGACUUCUGAGCGGUGUUGUGAGCACGCAGGUCUCAGACUGUUUCUGCAGGGCUGAAGGGAAUGACUUCUCAUACUCAUACCGUCCUCCUUCUCCAUUUCUGCAGUCCUCCCACAUCUACAUUCUGCAGGCUGCUGGCCCAGAACACAGAAGGCAGGUACUUCUGUAGGAGAAGGGGGUGUUUUAGGCAAAUUAGGUCAUCCAGUGGAAGAUGUUACCUUAACUGCCUCUGGGUGUUCCAGUGAACACGGUGCUCUGUAUCUAGCCUUGGACACCAUAACUGCUCCUGCCCACCCAAUGUCCUCCUUGCUUGGAGGUGAAAGCGAAGGGGACGUGGGCAUUUUGAGAGAACAAAGAUGCGUCAACAUGCUUGGAGUGGCAGAGUUUGAACACUGAACGACUAUACAAUGGAAUGAAAAAAAUUCUGGAAAAGUGACUUCUAUGUAAGACUUUUCAUUUAGAUGUUAAAGCAAAAACUCUUAUGGGUUUUAUAGUUUGAAGACCAAUAAUCAUUUUCCACUUUAAAAAUGAAACGCUCCACUUAAAAACUCUUGGAAACAUUUAAAAAAGGAAAAAAACCCAAAACCUAGCCAUGAUCUCAUCACCCAAACACAAACAUAAAUACAUUUUUGUCUAUGUUAUUCCAUUAGUUUUUAAAAUGCAUUGUCCCCAUCUUGUCACACCCAUGGUUGAAAGUCUGGUGUACACAAAUUUCUACGUAUCUGUCGUUUCCCACAUGGUUGUAAAAUGCCUCCGUGUUCUCGCGUGCUCUUCAUGGUGCCAGGUGCUUCCCUCAGGAGACACACCUGACUUCUCUCAUUCUUCCCCUGGAAACGGGCAGAUGGCAUGUUCACAUUUUUGCUAUUAUAAAUGACACCAGAGCAAACAUCUUUUUCUGUAUUUGGAGCGAUUUCCUUAGGAUUCAACCCCAGAAAUGGGAUUUCUGAGUCAAAGAUGAUGAAUAUUUUUAUGGCUCUUGACUCUUUUAGCCAAUUUGCUUUUCAAAGAUUUGGCAUGAAUUUAUGUUCCCGGAGGAGUCCUGAUUUGAGUCUCUAAAUUUUGAGUGAUGUUGUCCCACGCACCACACCUUCUAGAGUAAAUAUUUUCCUGCUCAGAUUUAAACUUUAAAGGUUCUGACACCUGCGACAAUAUCCCCUCCUAUUUUAAGCCUUCUGGUUCUUUCUGAAAGAUGCUGUGAAGCAGGCUCGUGCUGCAGUCUAUGCUUGCAUUCUGUCCUUGUUCUUCUCCCAGUUUUGUCUUAGGCUGCCAGCGGUUACUCCUGCCCUUUCUCCUGGGGGCAAUCAGUCAUCUUAUCCAGAGGUCCUGCAGCCAUUCAGAAACCAACUGCCCUCACUGGUUUGCCUGGUCCUCCCUUCUGUCUGUGGCCACAGUGGCGACUCCCUGGCUGGGGUUUUUUCUAACGUUUCUGAGUCUGAUGGAGCGAGAGGGAUUAGAACUGAGUAAGAGGUUAAGAGCUCAUUCUAGUUCCCCGGUCAGCUAAUUUGCCAUUCCUAUCCCCUAAGGAUAGGAAAUGAAGUUGUUUUCAGGUUUUGCCAACUUCAACUCCACCCGGAAGGAGAAAAACAUCCCCUCAUCCACCCCCUGUUUCUUUUGAUACAAGACAGAAAGAAAAAGAGAGAUUAAAAUGUUUACAAGUAUUUGAUCUUCCCCCUCUUUUGGAAGGCGCACAAUAGAGGAAAGCAGACAAACGUCUGUGAGCAGUUAGAGAGUGGAAGAAAAACCAAACAGAUUUCACCCGGAGCCUGUCAGGUGGUUGGCAGCACCGGCCUGGGAUGGAGUUUCUGUCCUGAUUGUGUUGUUUUGUUCUGCCCUCGGGAGACGGAGCGUGGCUGUGGGUGCAGAGGGAGGAGAAUGCUGUGGGACUGAGGGAACGAUCCUCAAUUUAAUUUGAUUUGCUUUGAGAGUGAGUUAAAGUCUUGUGGCAAAAAGUUCCUCCAGAGCAGAAAUUUGGGGGUCUGGAAAAUGCCAGAAGAGAGAAGCUGGAAAAGCUGUUACAAGUGCAUAGGCCGGGAGAAGAAGGGCCAAGAGCAUAGCCAUGGCUCCUUGAGACGGAAAGGGGGACAGCGGGUCAGGGUAGGAGGUUGGGAAAUAAAUGAUGGUAAGGACGACAAUGACGGUGACGGUGACAACGAUGAUGCCAAUGAUGCUGACCAGAGCUAAUAUUUCUUGAGUGCUUAUUAUGUCCCAGAUACUGUCCAAAACACUUUGCAUGAAUUAACUGUUUAUUCCUCACUGGAAACUUACAUGGAAAUGACUAUUUUUGCCCCCAUUUAUGGAUGAGGAAAGUGAGGCACAGAGAGGGUAUGUGAUGAGCAGAGAGAUUGGGUUCGUGAGUAAACUGGGGACAGUUAGAUGAAGUGGAGCCUGAAGGUAUGGGAGAGAAAGGAGGAAGGGAGAGCAAACGAUUCCUUUUUUCUGGGUGUCCGGUCAUCUAGGCCUCAAAUCUGGGAGUCUCCCUGGACCCACACCUCUCCCUUCCUCCCUCCCGUUACUCCUCUCACCUCUCUUCCAUCCAGCCCUCCCCACAGCACAAGCCCCUCUACCCACCACUGCUCUACCCGUGUCUUGCCUGGACUAUUGCAUUAACUUCCCAACUGAUAAACCACCUUCAGCCCCUGAGCCGAUCUGUCUAUUGUAUCACCUCCCCGACAGAGUCAUCCUCCUCUAGGCUUCCUUGCACCUUGUAAAUACCUGUAUUUAGUGCAUCACACACUAAUGGUAAUUGUGAGCUUAUGUAGUUGUCUAUCUGGCCAAAUGUUUGUUGAAUGAAAGAAGCGGGUCACAGCCAAUGGGAGGAAUUUACAUUGGAAGCCAGAGAGGGUAAACCAGCUGGCACUACCCUAGAUAUUCAUUUCUUUGAAUGUAUCCUUGGAACAAUGAAGGCUAGAGACUGAUGACAUGAUAGAGCAGAGAGAAAAUCUGCGAUGGAUUAGGUCACAAGUUUUUCUCUGCUCUUAUGAUGGGAAAAAAAAAAAAAAAGAAAGAAAGAAAUCUAAUUGGCCAACCCAGAAGUGGAAGAGGCCAUAUUAACUCAGAAUCUUCAAGCCUUACGUAGUCAAUAUUUUUGAGACAGAAGACUGAGGCUUUAUGGCGCCUGUUCUAUAUAGAGCCCUGUCAAUAGGUUACUGGUGACAGGCGAGGCCCGGAGCCGGGAACACAUCUCUGACAUCAGUGCUGAGUGAGCUUGGGGUCUUCUACCUCUGUCAUCUGGAGGGAUAGCUGGUGUGGACGAAUUCAUUCCUGCAGUCGACACAUAUUUACUGAGCAGCUACUAUUGCUGGGUACUAUACAGAAAAUAACGAUUAAAUUUAUAUGUCAAGUGGUGAUAAAUGCCAUGCACACAUUAUGGUAAGGAGGAAGGGGUUAGGUGUAGUUUCUGUCCUAUAUAGAGUGGUCAGGGAAGGCCUCUUUGCUAAGAGGAAGAGGGACUGAAUGAAGUGAGGGAAGGAGCUCUGUGGUUUCCUGGGGUCAGAGCAUUCCAGAAAGAGAGAACAGUAAGUUCAAAGGCCCUGAGGCAGAAUCAUGCUCAGCUCAUUCCAGCAAUAGGAAGGAGGCCAGUGUGUCCCAAGUGAAGUGAACAUGGGGGUAGGAGAUGAAGUUGGAGGAGAAGCCGGGCAAGAUCAUGUGUGGCCCCGUAGACCACUGUAUUGUAUUCUUAGGGAGAAGGGAAAGUUUGUUUUGGAGCAUUUUCAGCAAAGGGGUGACAAAAUUUGACUCUAUCAGUCACUCCGGAAAUUUCUGCAGGGAACAUAAGUAGAAACUGGGAGAUCAACCGGGAGAAGAUCAUGGCUUGGACUGGAGGUAGCAGUGGAGAAUUCAAGAAGCAGUCAGAUUCUGGCUACAUCUUGAAGGUAACACUAACUGGAUUUGUUGAUGAUUGAUGUGGGGUGUGAAGGAAAGAGAGGCAGUAAGGACGACCACGGCGUUUGACCUGGGCAACUGGAAGUAUGACAUUGCCAUUUAUUCAGAUGGGAAAGCGGGAGAAGAAGGAACAAGAGUUCCAUUUGGAUGUGCUGAGUUAGCUGACUAUAGGACCUCCAAGUGGAGGUGGUGGUGAGGCUGCUGGCUGCGCAAGUCUGGAAUUCGGGAAAGGGGAGCUAGAGACAUAAGUGUGGCCAGGUGUCUGUGGAUAGGAGUUAGAGCAUGGCACUGGCGAAGCCAUCUAGAGAGCGAGUGGAAAUAAAGAGGCCUGGACACAGAGCAUCUAGCCAAGUAUGACUGCGCAGGACUGGCCAGAGAGGUAGGACGAGAGCCAGGGGUGAGCAAACAGUGGAAAGUGUUCCCAGGGGGAGGGAGUGGUCCAUCAGCUAUGUCAGUGUGGCUAACCGGUGGAGGGAUGAGGCCUGAGAACGAGCACUGAAGAGCCAUGCAGAGGUCACUGGUGACCAUGACAAGGGCAGGUAAAGUGGAGUGAGUGGUGGGCACAAACAGCUGAUUAAGUGGGUUCAAGAGCUCACAGAAGGAGAGGAAAUGGAACCACUGAGCAUAUUUCAAGAAGUUUGGCCAUAUAGGGAAGGAAAGAAAUUUGGGGUGGAGGGCUAGCUGGAGGGGGAUGUGGAGUCAAGUGGUUUUUUAAAUUUAUUUUUAUUUUUUAUUUUUAUG
rnacentral:lncRNA from 1 species